UUUAGCAUGGAAUAAUAAAAUAGGACGUGUGGUUCUAUUUUGUUGGUUUCUAGGACCGCCGUAAUGAUUAAUAGGGACAGUCGGGGGCAUCAGUAUUCAAUUGUCAGAGGUGAAAUUCUUGGAUUUAUUGAAGACUAACUACUGCGAAAGCAUUUGCCAAGGAUGUUUUCAUUAAUCAGGAACGAAAGUUAGGGGAUCGAAGACGAUCAGAUACCGUCGUAGUCUUAACCAUAAACUAUGCCGACUAGGGAUCGGACGGUGUUAUUUUUUGACCCGUUCGGCACCUUACGAGAAAUCAAAGUGCUUGGGCUCCAGGGGGAGUAUGGUCGCAAGGCUGAAACUUAAAGAAAUUGACGGAAGGGCACCACCAGGGGUGGAGCCUGCGGCUUAAUUAGACUCAACACGGGGAAACUCACCAGGUCCAGAAAUCUAGA
rnacentral:rRNA from 1 species